UAGGCUAAAGUUUAUAUGUAGGGCACACAACCCUUACUAUAUCAUGACAACAGGUUUUGAUACACAUAGUUAAUCGUAAUAAUCGUAAAGGAGCGUGCUUAAGGUGGCUCCAGGGCUUUAUUUUACUUCCACUCCAUAAUGCGGCACACUAAUUCUAUUUGUCACAUGUUUGUUGUUUUGUCCAGCUACAGGCUUUGAUACAACCAUACCUUGAUCCUGCUAUGACAAGGAUGCCCCAAGCUAUUUGCAGACAAAACGGUAUGACACUUCUGUUCAUUGGAUGGUGAUCCUAUUUUGAUUCCUACAAGUGAUGGGUUAAGUGGGUAGCUUGUUCUGUGUUUGAAACUUUUUUAAGUUGGUAGUAUUUCAUUAAUUGGAACCUUUUCUACUUCACAUUGUUAAGAGUUUACAAUCUGUACACAGCUACCGCACGUGUAAGUUUUAGAAAUCUAAACUUUUAAUUGGAAUAUAAAUUAGAAUGUAAUUUUGCGAAGCCGCUACCUAAAAAAUGUUUUUUUAUUUUUCACCAGAAAUGUAUGAAACCAACUCUAAAUAAAAUAAAAUUAUAUAGUUUAAAAAAUUAUAUACACAUAUAUAUAGUUAAUUUAAUCAUACUAUUCUUCAAAACUUGGGGAGUAUAUAAUGAGACAUAUUCUUUACCGUAAAAUAAAAUAGAAAAUAACUUUCUUAAUUCCUUUAAAUUAAUCUUAUUGAGAAAGAAUCUCGCUCCAACUUGAUUAGGCACAUUACCGGACAUUUUGACUAUAUUAAUACUACUAUUUUAGUUUGAUGCUCUUAGUUUUUGUUUCUUUGGAUGAAAGUUUAACACUUUUGUAGGGCAAGCUAUGGUUGGCAAUGAAAAUCAAGAAGAAAAUAGCCCAAUGCCUAACCUGCAACACCCGUGUCGGAUAAAUUCAACUCAAACUGAGGGAAACAGUAAGGCUUGAGGUUCUUUUUUUUUUUUGCUCUUUUUUAAGAGAAUGUAAGGAGAUGCAUGUUCCACCUACAUAUUUAUACAUCAAAAUAAGGGAAUGUUAACAAUUAGUAUAUUGCUUGAGCCCUAGUACGAAAGGUGCAUGCCCGCACCCUUAGGCCUUAGCAGCCUGCCUGUAAACCAGCCUCCUCCUUUUCUGCUUGUAUACUGAAUGGUUCAAAUCAUUAUGUUUCCUCCUCAUUUUCAGGUUUGGAUAUGAUUGGGGGACGAUCACAACUUCCAAUUACAACUAUAGAACCAUCUACCAGUGUAAGUAAUUGAAAACUAGGCUAAAGUUUAUAUGUAGGGCACACAACCCUUACUAUAUCAUGACAACAGGUUUUGAUACACAUAGUUAAUCGUAAUAAUCGUAAAGGAGCGUGCUUAAGGUGGCUCCAGGGCGUUAUUUUACUUCCACUCCAUAAUACGGCACACUAAUUCUAUUUGUCAUCUGUUUGUUGUUUUGUCCAGCUACAGGCUUUGGUACAACCAUACCUUGAUCCUGCUAUGACGAGGAUGCCCCAAGCUAUUUGCAGACAAAGCGGUAUGACACUUCUGUUCAUU
rnacentral:lncRNA from 1 species